rnacentral:rRNA from 1 species
AUUGAACGCUGGCGGCAGGCCUAACACAUGCGAGUCGAGCGGAUGAGAGGAGCUUGCUUCUCGAUUCAGCGGCGGACGGGUGAGUAAUGCCUAGGAAUCUGCCUGAUAGUGGGGGACAACGUUUCGAAAGGAACGCUAAUACCGCAUACGUCCUACGGGAGAAAGCAGGGGACCUUCGGGCCUUGCGCUAUCAGAUGAGCCUAGGUCGGAUUAGCUAGUUGGUGAGGUAAUGGCUCACCAAGGCGACGAUCCGUAACUGGUCUGAGAGGAUGGUCAGUCACACUGGAACUGAGACACGGUCCAGACUCCUACGGGAGGCAGCAGUGGGGAAUAUUGGACAAUGGGCGAAAGCCUGAUCCAGCCAUGCCGCGUGUGUGAAGAAGGUCUUCGGAUUGUAAAGCACUUUAAGUUGGGAGGAAGGAUUGUAGAUUAAUACUCUGCAAUUUUGACGUUACCGACAGAAUAAGCACCGGCUAACUCUGUGCCAGCAGCCGCGGUAACAC